rnacentral:lncRNA from 8 species
UUCUUCUGACACAGGGAAUUGGUUGAAGGGAAUUCAACUGUUAGAUAUGAAGAGGUGUGCUGUUCCUCCUGCUGCUCUCAGAUUUCUACCAACUGUCGUCAUGCCUCACCGGCCAAUACGUAUUUGCUAAUGACCCCAAGACCUGGAUUGAAGCACAGAGAUACUGCAGAGAGAAGUACACUGACCUGGCCACCAUAGAAAACAUUGAGGAUAUGAACAGAUUUAGACAAGUUGUCAAUGGAUACAAUGGAAGAGUCUGGAUAGGACUCUAUGAUGAUGUUAACAGCUAGAGGUGGUCUCUGGAAGACAGUGACUACUACAGUGAGGGAGGGGCUGAGUUUAGAAACUGGGACAGUGGACAGCCUGGUGACCAAGGCAGUGGACAGCCUGAUGACCAAGGCAGUGGACAGUACUGCACAGUGAUGAGAGACAGCGGAAGGUGGAACGACGAUCGUUGCUCAAACAAGGAAAUCUUCAUCUGCUACGACGAGAGUGGCCAAUGGUAGCAGCGUAUGGAUCGGCCUAUUCAGAGACUCCUGGAAGUGGUCAGACCAGAGCGACUCCUUCAGAUACUGGGUCGAGGAACGUCUGAGGGUUGUGUUGAAGUAUGGAUCACUAACAAUGGACUAUGGAACGAUAUUAUCUGCACUCAUCCAGUCUUUUGUCUGCUACUACACAGGAUAUGCUGGAGUGCAGGUGAAAUUCACCUCGACAACAGCGUUAACAGAUUCUAACAUCACCGAACUGGUCUUGAAGAAGGUGAGUCAUUCUACCUCACCUGUUAACCGAACAAUUUUCCCUUGCCUUAACAGACAAGGAAACAAAGGCCCUAGUUAGUUAGGAGUUAUUCCUGGUAAUAACAUAUAUAAUGCAUAUGAAUAAUAUAUGCCAGGGUUCCCCAACUGGGUGAUUAUAUUCGGCCCCCCAAGUUUUCUGAGCAAUUUGUUUAACCUUUUAUUAUUAAUUGUUGGACAUAAAAUACUGUAAAAACACCAGCAUAUCAGCUUCAAGUGAUUUUAAUUUUGUAAACCUGUCUCCUCCCCUUCAACUACAAUGAAUGAAAUAGAUUUUACAAGUGACAACAAUAAGGGAUCAUAGCUUUAAAAAAGAGCAGGUGUUCUUAAUGUUUUGUAUACUCAGCGUCUGUGAUGUUAUACAAACGUAAGCAAGGUUUGAAAUACAAUUUUUUUGGUCAAAUAUGAUAUCUGUUUGGGUCUUCUUGCAGUGAAUUUUCAGUCUACAAAUGAUUUGUAACUACACUACCGCUCAAAAGUUUGGGGUCACUUAGAAAUAUCCUUGUUUUUUAAAGAAAAGCACAUUUGUUGUCCAUUAAAAUGACAUCAAAUUAAUCAGAAAUACAGUGUAGACAUUGUUCAUGUUUUUUAAUGGAAUAUCUACAUAGGCGUACAGAGGCCCAUUAUCAGCAACCAUCACUCCUGUGUUCCAAUGGCACGUUGUGUUAACUAAUCCAAGUUUAUAAUUUUAAAAGGCUAAUUGAUCAUUAGAAAACCCUUUUGCAAUUAUGUUAGCACAGCUGAAAACUGUUAUUCUGAUUAAAGAAGCAAUAAAAUGGGUCUUCUUUAGACUAGUUGAGUAUCUGGAGCAUCAGCAGUUGUG